rnacentral:rRNA from 1 species
CACCGCGGUUAUACGAGAGGCCCAAGUUGAUAGGAAUCGGCACAAAGGGUGGUUAAGAAAACUAAGCAGUAAAGCCGAACCUCUUCCCAGCUGUCAUACGCAAACGAAGAGACGAAGCCCACAUACGAAGGUAGCUUUAUUAAUAUCUGAACCCACGGCAGCUAAGACA